rnacentral:piRNA from 1 species
CCUGCUUUCGUAGAAGCUCCACGGUCUUAGU